UACAGAGGGUGCAAGCGUUGCUCGGAUUUACUGGGCGUAAAGCGUACGCAGACGGUUUGGAAGGUCGGACGUGAAAGCCCCGGGCUCAACCCGGGAAAUGCGUCCGAAACCACCUUGCUUGAGUAUGGGAGAGGGAAGCGGAAUUCCUGGUGUAGAGGUGAAAUUCGUAGAUAUCAGGAGGAACAUCGGCGGCGAAGGCGGCUUCCUGGCCCAUUACUGACGUUCAGGUACGAAAGCGUGGGUAGCAAACAGG
rnacentral:rRNA from 1 species